GGCGGGGUGCCGGAGCGGUCGAACGGGACGGCCUUGAAAGUCGUUGCGCCCUUCGGGGCCCGUGGGUUCGAAUCCCACCCCCGCCGCUA
rnacentral:tRNA from 1 species